rnacentral:rRNA from 1 species
GUACACUCCUACGGGAGGCAGCAGUGGGGAAUAUUGGACAAUGGGCGCAAGCCUGAUCCAGCCAUGCCGCGUGAGUGAUGAAGGCCCUAGGGUUGUAAAGCUCUUUCACCGGAGAAGAUAAUGACGGUAUCCGGAGAAGAAGCCCCGGCUAACUUCGUGCCAGCAGCCGCGGUAAUACGAAGGGGGCUAGCGUUGUUCGGAAUUACUGGGCGUAAAGCGCACGUAGGCGGAUCGAUCAGUCAGGGGUGAAAUCCCAGGGCUCAACCCUGGAACUGCCUUUGAUACUGUCGAUCUGGAGUAUGGAAGAGGCGAGUGGAAUUCCGAGUGUAGAGGUGAAAUUCGUAGAUAUUCGGAGGAACACCAGUGGCGAAGGCGGCUCACUGGUCCAUUACUGACGCUGAGGUGCGAAAGCGUGGGGAGCAAACAGGAUUAGAAACCCGAGUAGUCCCAU